rnacentral:rRNA from 1 species
UACGUAGGGUGCGAGCGUUGUCCGGAAUUAUUGGGCGUAAAGAGCUCGUAGGCGGCCUGUCGCGUCGGAUGUGAAAGCCCGGAGCUUAACCCCGGGUCUGCAUUCGAUACGGGCAGGCUAGAGUGUGGUAGGGGAGAUCGGAAUUCCUGGUGUAGCGGUGAAAUGCGCAGAUAUCAGGAGGAACACCGGUGGCGAAGGCGGAUCUCGUGGGCCAUUACUGACGCUGAGGAGCGAAAGCGUGGGGAGCGAACAGG